rnacentral:rRNA from 1 species
AAAACUCGAGAGCAUCCAAGUUCUCGAAGUCUCUGGAAGGAUGUCCAAGAAAAGCUCCUAGGGUUGAAAACUGGUAACCGUACUAAAACUGACACAGGUAGGCGAGACGAGUAGUCUCAGGCGCUCGGGAGAAUGGUGGUUAAGGAACUCUGCAAAUUCACCCCGUAAGUUCGCGAUAAGGGGUACCCUUGAAGGUGAAAGCCUCUGAGGGUCACAGAAAAUCGGCUCUAGCAACUGUUUAUCAAAAACACAGGACUCUGCUAACUCGCAAGAGGAUGUAUAGAGUCUGACGCCUGCCCGGUGUUGGUAGGUUAAGGAAGAAGGUUAGCCUCACGGCGAAGCUUGCGACCGAAGCCCCAAUAAACGGCGGCCGUAACUAUGACGGUCCUAAGGUAGCGAAGUUCCUUGUCGGGUAAGUUCCGACCUGCAUGAAUGGCGUAAUGACUGGAGCACUGUCUCAACCACCAACCCGGUGAAAUUGUAGUCGUGGUGAAGAUGCCACGUACCCGCGGUUAGACGGAAAGACCCCAUGAACCUUGACUGUAGGCUGAUAUUGGGCUGAGAUUUGUUUUGUGUAGGAUAGGUGGGAGGCUUUGAACCGGUGGCGCCAGCCAUUGGGGAGCCGACGUUGAAAUACCACCCUGAACAUGUUUUAGUUCUAACCUCGAUCCAGUGAAACCUGGCGAGGGACAGUGUCAGUUGGGCAGUUUGACUGGGGCGGUCUCCUCCAAAAGAGUAACGGAGGAGUACAAAGGCACCCUCAGCCUGGUCGGCAAUCAGGCACUGAGCGCAAUGGUAGAAGGGUGCUUAACUGCGAGACCGAUAAGUCGAGCAGAUGUGAAAGCAGGUCAUAGUGAUCCGGUGAUUCCGUAUGGAAGGGUCAUCGCUCAUCAGAUAAAAGGUACUCUGGGGAUAACAGGCUGAUCGCUACCGAGCGUCCACAGCGGCGUAGCGGUUUGGCACCUCGAUGUCGGCUCAUCACAUCCUGGGGGUGAAGAAGCUCCCAAGGGUUUGGCUGUUCGCCAAUGAAAGUGGUACGUGAGCUGGGUUCAGACCGUCGUGAGACAGGUCGGUCCCUAUCUGCCGUGGGCGUACGAAACUUGAGGAGCCUCUUCUUUAGUACGAGAGGAUUUAGAAGGACACAGCUCUGGUGUACCAGUUGUCACGCUAGUGGCACGGCUGGAUAGCUAUCUGUGGAAAGGAUAAACGCUGAAAGCAUCUAAGGGUGAAGCCCGCUCCAAGACUAGGUUUCGUAAGGUUAAUAACCGAAAGUCCCCUCGAAGACUACGAGGUUGAUAGGCCGGAUGUGUAAGGCCCGUAAGGGUUUCAGCUUACCGGUACUAACGGACGAACGCUUGGCCAC